UGCCCAGGAGCCGAGGGGGUGAAGCCUGGUACAUGGGGGAGGGGGGUCUAUGAAGGACGCAGCCGACACGCUGACCCAUUUAGUGCUUCGCUCUCUGGGAUUGUCACUUAGUAUUAGACCCACAUAAGGAUCCUAGGGUUGAUGUGUGCGCUAGGAUGGGAUAGGAUUGCAUACAGCUCCGGAGGCAGAGGAUAGUGACUGCGUCCCCCCCAAUACUCAGACCGCGACCCCGUCCCCAUCCAGAGACUUCACCAUGGAGAUAAUGGACGAGGAUGACCCCCAACAGGAAGAAAUGUAUCUAGGCCCCAGUUUCCCGCUGUACCCUACUCCAGUGUUUAUUCUCUUCUCUCUCAGCCGACCUCGGGGAGGACGCCGGGGUAUACAUGGAGUUUAUGAUGAAGCGCAGAUGCUACGAUGCCAUUCCUACAAGCUGCAAGCUGGUUGUGUUUGAUACGUCUCUACAGAUUAAGAAAGCCUUCUUGGCCCUGGUGGCGAAUGGGGUGCGGGCGGCGCCUCUCUGGGACAGCAAGCAGCAUUGCUUUGUGGGGAUGCUGACCAUCACCGACUUCAUCAACAUCCUGCACAGAUACUACAAGGCUCCGCUGGUGCAGAUAUACGAGCUGGAGGAGCAUAAGAUAGAAACGUGGAGAGAGGUUUACCUGCAGAGUUCCUUUAAGCCCCUGAUCUACAUUGCCCCCGGUGACAGCCUCUUCCAUGCCGUCUAUUCACUCAUCAAGAACAAGAUCCACCGCUUACCAGUAAUGGAGCCGGUGUCGGGCAACAUCCUCCACAUCCUGACGCACAAGCGCCUGCUAAAGUUCCUGCACAUAUUUGGGGACACCAUUCCCCGGCCACGCUUCCUGCAAAGGACCAUUGAGGAGUUGCGGAUCGGCACCUUCAGAGACGUCGCAAUAAUUCACGAUACAUCGACCAUUUACAGCGCCCUGGAGACCUUUGUGGAGAGGAGAGUGUCAGCGCUUCCUGUAGUGAACGAGGCUGGACAGGUGGUCGGGCUGUAUUCCCGCUUCGAUGUCAUACAUUUAGCAGCCCAGAAGACAUAUAAUAACCUGGAUAUAACAGUGGGGGAAGCUUUGCAGCGGCGCUCCCUGUGUCUGGAAGGUGUCCUAAUGUGUUACCCACAUGAAACCCUGGAAACUGUGAUCGAUCGUUUAGUAAGAGAACAGGUUCAUCGAUUGGUUCUGGUGGAUGAAGAACGUCGUCCCUGUGGGAUUGUGUCCCUGUCUGACAUCUUACAAGCCCUGGUUUUAACCCCCGCAGGCUCAGGUACGCUCCCUACAGUACUUGGCAGGAGCAAACGUCCGUGUGAGAAUUGUCUGGAAAGCUGAUCUGUGCACUUUGUACCCUGGAACCUCAGAAUUCUGCAUUUAUGCUGCCACAAGGUCUAGACCGCAAUUCCUUGUGAUGGAGUCAAUGGGAAGCAUAUUUUGUGACUAGGGGGCGCUGUCUCCUCCUCUGAAGGUUGAUGCCUGGUCGCGUGAUGUUCGGUGCGGGCUCCGUUACCGCCUGGAGGAUGUCAGGGACCACAGAGGUCACCUUGAAGUUUUUCUUUAAGGAAUGGCGCGGUCUCGGCUCAAUCUUCUGUUCAUUGUGUAUAUUAGAAGAUAGGAUAUACAGAAUUUUGUGGCCAUAAGAAUUUUAGAGACUGGAGCUGGAAUCAUUCAUGAUGGAGACCCCCUUGGACCUGUGAGCCGGACUCAUCCCUGUGAUGGAGAUACAUAUGUGUCUAGGUAUAUGCCGUUUACACAGCCCUCACUUAUGCAUAUAUCUCUUUGUACAGAGGAAACGGAACGUUUAGUAAUAGUAAUGCUACAAUAGUAGGUAGGACGUGUCUGUAUAUUCUAAAAAAAACUCUAACACUGUAAAAUGAUUUCCCAGAAGUCUUUGCUGCUGCCGACCUGGAUUGAUAGAUCUCUUCUUCUACCUAAAUAGGUAGAGGUCUAUCAAUCUAGGGCAGGGAGAAGCGGGGAGACCGCCCAGAUGACUCCCGGUUCAGGCAGUAUGACAGAUGUGAUCACCGCUUCACUUUAAGACUCUUUAGAAUUUAUCUAUAUAUUUCCUUUUUGUAUUUUUGUUUCCAUUUAUUGUAUAACAUUAAUUUAUUACAGUUUCUUCCUGGAAACCAUCAACAAGUAUGCUCGGAUAAUGCUGCCCCUGUAGGCCCCAGGGCCGGGUUCCAUGUACAUGACGUUUGCAUUGGUUAAUCAUAUGAGGCAUAAGGCUAGGUUCACACUACGGAAUUUCCGCCUGCAAUUCCGCUUUGAAAUUGCAGGCAGAAAUUCAGCUUACUAGUGUAGCGAAUGGGUUUCCGUUCGCAAAUUCACACUUAGGAAUUUGUGAAGCGGAAUUUGGGAACGGAAAAUCCGCUUGGAAUUUUCCACCUGAAGAAUGGCGUUGCUCAUUCUUCAGGCGGAAAUACUCGCGGAACACAUUGCAGUCUAUUGGAGACUGCAGUGUCCACGCGGUCCUAGUGCCGACA